ACGGUCCUAAGGUAGCGAAAUUCCUUGUCGGGUAAGUUCCGACCCGCACGAAAGGUGUAACGAUUUGGGCACUGUCUCAACGAGGGACCCGGUGAAAUUGAAGUACCUGUGAAGAUGCAGGUUACCCGCGACUGGACAGAAAGACCCCAUGGAGCUUUACUGUAACCUGAGAUUGGAUUCCGGUAAGAGAUGUACAGGAUAGUUGGGAGGCUGAGAAGUGAGUACGCCAGUAUUCACGGAGCCGCUGGUGGGAUACCAACCUUGUUUUAUUGGAAUUCUAACGAGAAGCGUAACGAGCUUGCGGACAGUCUCAGGCGGGCAGUUUGACUGGGGCGGUCGCCUCCGAAAGAGUAACGGAGGCGCCCAAAGGUUCCCUCAGCGCGGACGGAAACCGCGCGAAGAGUGCAAAGGCAGAAGGGAGCUUGACUGCGAGACGGACAGGUCGAGCAGGGACGAAAGUCGGGCUUAGUGAUCCGGUGGUAGAGAGUGGAAUUGCCAUCGCUCAACGGAUAAAAGCUACCCUGGGGAUAACAGGCUUAUCUCUCCCAAGAGUCCAUAUCGACGGGGAGGUUUGGCACCUCGAUGUCGGCUCAUCACAUCCUGGGGCUGAAGUCGGUCCCAAGGGUUGGGCUGUUCGCCCAUUAAAGUGGUACGUGAGCUGGGUUCAGAACGUCGUGAGACAGUUCGGUCCCUAUCCAUCGCGGGCGCAAGAGAUUUGAAGGGGGCUGCUCCUAGUACGAGAGGACCGGAGUGGACGAACCAAUGGUGUACCAAUUAUCUCGCCAGAGGUAUAGUUGGGUAGCUACGUUCGGAAAGGAUAAACGCUGAAAGCAUCUAAGCGUGAAACCAGCCUUAAGAUGAGAUCUCUCAUAGAGUAAUCUAGUAAGACACCUUGGAGAAGACGAGGUUGAUAGGUCGGGAGUGUAAGUACAGUAAUGUAUUCAGCGGACCGAUACUAAUAUGUCGAGGGCUUGACUUA
rnacentral:rRNA from 1 species